rnacentral:rRNA from 1 species
CCUACGGGAGGCAGCAGUGGGGGAUAUUGCACAAUGGGGGAAACCCUGAUGCAGCGACGCCGCGUUGGAGGAAGAAGGUUUUCGGAUUGUAAACUCCUGUCGUUAGGGACGAUAAUGACGGUACCUAACAAGAAAGCACCGGCUAACUACGUGCCAGCAG